UACGAAGGGGGCUAGCGUUGCUCGGAAUCACUGGGCGUAAAGCGCGCGUAGGCGGAUUGUUAAGUCAGGGGUGAAAUCCUGGAGCUCAACUCCAGAACUGCCUUUGAUACUGGCGAUCUUGAGUUCGGGAGAGGUGAGUGGAACUGCGAGUGUAGAGGUGAAAUUCGUAGAUAUUCGCAAGAACACCAGUGGCGAAGGCGGCUCACUGGCCCGAUACUGACGCUGAGGUGCGAAAGCGUGGGGAGCAAACAGGG
rnacentral:rRNA from 1 species